rnacentral:rRNA from 1 species
CCUACGGGAGGCAGCAGUGGGGGAUAUUGCACAAUGGGGGGAACCCUGAUGCAGCGACGCCGCGUGGGUGAAGAAGCGCCUCGGCGCGUAAAGCCCUGUCAGCAGGGAAGAAAAUGACGGUACCUGAAGCAGAAGCCCCGGCUAAAUACGUGCCAGCAGCCGCGGUAAUACGUAGGGCGCAAGCGUUAUCCGGAUUUACUGGGUGUAAAGGGGGCGCAGACGGCGUUGCAAGCCAGAAGUGAAAGCCCGGGGCCCAACCCCGGGACUGCUCUUGGAACUGCGUGGCUGGAGUGCAGGAGGGGCAGGCGGAAUUCCUGGUGUAGCGGUGAAAUGCGUAGAGAUCAGGAGGAACACCGGUGGCGAAGGCGGCCUGCUGGACUGCAACUGACGUUGAGGCCCGAAAGCGUGGGGAGCAAACAGGAUUAGAUACCCUUGUAGUC